rnacentral:rRNA from 2 species
CAAUAAGCGGAGGAAAAGAAACCAACAGGGAUUGCCUCAGUAACGGCGAGUGAAGCGGCAACAGCUCAGAUUUGGAAUCUGGCCCCCUCGGGGGCCCGAGUUGUAAUCUGGAGAGGAUGCUUCUGGCGCGGCGCCUGGCGAGUUCCCUGGAACGGGACGCCGGAGAGGGUGAGAGCCCCGUACUCCAGGACGCCUAGCCUCUGUGAAGCUCCUUCGACGAGUCGAGUAGUUUGGGAAUGCUGCUCUAAAUGGGAGGUAAAUUUCUUCUAAAGCUAAAUACCGGCCAGAGACCGAUAGCGCACAAGUAGAGUGAUCGAAAGAUGAAAAGCACUUUGAAAAGAGGGUCAAACAGUACGUGAAAUUGUUGAAAGGGAAGCGCCCGUGGCCAGACUUGCGCCCCGCGGCUCACCCGGCGGACUCCGCCGGGGCACGCCGCGGGGUGCAGGCCAGCAUCGGCUCUUCCAGGGGGACAAGGACGGCGGGAACGUGGCUCCUCCGGGAGUGUUAUAGCCCGCCGCGCCAUGCCCCUGGGGGGGCCGAGG